ensembl:lncRNA
AAAUAAAAUUUAACAUAAUCUAACCAAACGUAAUGACUGUUUGAAAGGGUUCAUCUACAAUUUAGGACAGACUAACUAGUCUGGUGGUUUUACCCUUAGGUCCCUCUGUGCCCCCACUGCCCCUUCUAAGGCAAAGAUCUCUUCUACGACCAUCAUCAUCAUCAGUUCCAUCCAAUUGUGGAGCACCACCUCCUCCCCUUCCUCCUCCAGUCCCUCCACACACUGCUCCCCUAAUACAAGCUUAUGGAAUGAACACAGGAAAGUCGACACUGCUGAGUCAAGUCAAAGAAGGGACCCAGCUAAAGGUGGCGCAAGAAAACUUGCCAGUAUCCAACACCAGAAGUCCGUCUAAUGAUUACGCAUAUCAAUCUGGUUGGUUUGUAUUAGUUGUAAUAUUUAUUUAUUUAUUAUUUCAAACAACAUCCAGACAGCCACAUUGCAAAACUAAGGACACGUAAAUAUGGUGAUAAAUAUUAGCCUGCUGGAAUCACACAUAAGUCAAACAAGCAGAUUUAGGCUUAAGCUGUAAUUUUACAAAAAUAUUUCAAUGCGAGACAUUGUAGGUUUAUUGUGAAAACUUUUCCUGAGCCAGUUCCACAUACUACCCAAAAUAAAGUCUGAUUUGUUUCUUUGUCUAGUCAUGAUAAAAACAAAGUGGUUGAAGCUGUUAACUAAUGCAUUACAGAACUAAUUGGACACUGCUGGAAAUUGGACAUUGAGUUACAAUAAACAGGAUGUUAUUCUGCUUGUGUUUAAUGACAAAUGAUAACUUCAUUAUAAUUUCUGUUGUUCAUUCAGAUCCUACGCUACUGAAGGCCACGGGCAACAUUAAAAGCCCACAGAUCAAUGACUCUCAGGUGAACAACACUGUUUACUCUACCUCCCCUAAGAGGGAGACAGAGGGCAGCAGAAGGCAGUGGGAGAGUGGCACAACAAGCAACGUCCGGCUCCCUGGCAAUGUAGAAUUGGGAGCUCGAAACCCAGGCUUUGAUGUGAGUAGAACUCCACCUAGUCUUUGGACAUAAAGAUAUGCAUAUAAAUGGUUCCUGUUUUGGUUUUCUAGCAAAUUAACCGGGAGCUGAAGAACCGGUUUGAUAUGACCAGCACCUCUGAGGCUCAUCUGAAAGAGAACGAGACCUCUAAGCCCAUCUCUGACUUCAAACAGAAGAAAGUAGUAGAAGCAGUGAAGGAGGAACUACAGAGACAAGGUGAGGCAGCUGUGAAAUCAGAUGUCUGAUUUACUGACAAAAGUCUAAUGACUGUGCAGCUUUUACCAGCCACUAAAUGUCCUUUAGUGUCAGGGGAUGGGUUAAAUGCAGAGAACGAAUUUCCCCUCUGUGGGACUAAUAAGGAAAUUUAUUUUCCUUUUUUUUCUUAUGGAUAAAUGCUGGUGUCACAGGUGUAUAGGAACAUAACGCCAGCUCUAAAAAUAAUGCUUUAGAAGCAAGGAGGACAUCAUCUUCCAAACACAUGUACCGUAGUUGUGCCAAUUGUAGACUAUAAAGAUUUAGGUGUGCAUGUAAAUGGUUGAUCUAUGUAACGGACUGGUGACACUGUGUAAGUUGUACCAGCCUCUAUUAAGUCUGAGAUAGACACUAGCACCCCCAUGACCCUUAUGAGGAUGAGCAGUUCACAUGUGUCACAGAAUCAAGGUGAAGGACCCAAACGCACAGCAGUCAAAGUUCUCAGUUUGAGGUGGUUUAAUGAAAUGGGAUCGUCAAACAGGCACUGGUCAGUACACCGAAAUGGCUCAGCAGCAGUACAGCCAGGGAACUAGCAAAACGUGGUCAAAACUGCAGGCAGGGUUCAAAAACAUCAGACAAAGUCCAAAACAGUAACACAGGGGCAGGCAGGGCGAGGUCAGAAACAAAACUAGGUCUGGUACACAGGAGGGACUUACUGAUAGACCGAUGGAGAGUCGGGACAGGUGAGUGCGCAAACAAUCUGGCAGAGCGUGAGGGGGAACAAAAGCUUAAGUACCGAGUUGAUUGCAGAUUGGCUGCAGCUGAUAGAUCAUGUGAAAGAAUAAGUAAAACUAGAACUUAGGCAAAACAGGAAGUGCCAAAACUAAACAGGAAUCAGCAGUGGAAAUGGCAUCAGAGUCCAGGAUUGUGACAGAACCCACCCCCCCCCCAGGGCAAAUUCCAAAGUCCAGGAUCGUGACAACACGAGAAGAGUAGAUUAAUGUAAGGAAUGACUGUCUAUCGUUUAUCUUUUGUGUGCUUGAGAUGCUUAGUAAGCAUUAACAAGGCAGCCACACAUUACUUACAUAAGAAUGGGGGGGUUACACUUAAUGAAAACUUUUCCUGAGCCAGUUUUACAUACCACCCAAAAUAAAGUCUGAUUUGUUUCUUUGUCUAGUCA